rnacentral:misc_RNA from 1 species
UUACAAGCAUCAUUGCUACAGC